UUGAGAAAAAAUCUGAUUAACUAAACUUUAUUUUCAUUAAAUGUCUGCUUUCUCAGAACUACCAAAAAUACAUUUGACACAAAUGUACCCAAGAUUCAAACUUGCAGUAGAAAAUGAUAUACAAGAGAACAUUCAGUUAUUUUGCUCAACAUUUAAACACGGGUCACAUAAUUAAAAGCUCCUCACUCUGCAACCCUGCCUUAUAUUUCAUGUUCACAUAAUCACCUCCUCUUCCUACAGGGUUUUAAAGGUUUAUUGGAAACAGACAGGGUCAUUUCUCAUAUUGUGUGUGUGCCUCCACUGGCGUUUCCAGCACCUCUUCCUAACAGCCUCAUUAACCUCUAAAUGCCGGUCCAACUUCAAAAGCACCGUCACCUCUCACAAGUCCUUGGUUACACCCCUCACACACACACACACCUCAGAUUGCUCUGUCACACCAAACUCAAUGGAACAGGAUCAGCUUAGUGAAAGACCCCUAGGAUAGAUCUCUCCUAAAGGCAUUUCUAAUAGUCAAACUAGUUAUCAUGAGUUCAAAUAAAAAAUGUAUUUAUAUAGAUAAGCAUGUAAAGGGGCUUGUCAAUCUCAGAAUGUGUGUCUGCAUGUGCUUGUGUGUGUGUGAGAGGCGGAGCAGCAGUUUUUCUCCACGACGCCUGCUCCCCAUUGGCACGUCACGUGUUCCCACGCCGGUGAUGCCACACGUGUGAAACAAAAGUUUACUGACUGACUGGGAGGGAGAGACACACAGCAACAACACCUUUGUGUUCUGAGAGGAGCAGCAGAGACUGGAGGUCUGUGGGACUGGGUCGUGUUCUGAGAGGAGCAGCAGAGACUGGAGGUCUGUGGGACUGGGUCGUGUUCUGAGAGGAGCAGCAGAGACUGGAGGUCUGUGGGACUGGGUCGUGUUCUGAGAGGAGCAGCAGAGACUGGAGGUCUGUGGGACUGGGUCGUGUUCUGAGAGGAGCAGCAGAGACUGGAGGUCUGUGGGACUGGGUCGUGUUCUGAGAGGAGCAGCAGAGACUGGAGGUCUGUGGGACUGGGUCGUGUUCUGAGAGGAGCAGCAGAGACUGGAGGUCUGUGGGACUGGGUCGUGUUCUGAGAGGAGCAGCAGAGACUGGAGGUCUGUGGGACUGGGUCGUGUUCUGAGAGGAGCAGCAGAGACUGGAGGUCUGUGGGACUGGGUCGUGUUCUGAGAGGAGCAGCAGAGACUGUGGAUCUGUGGGACUGGGUCGUGUUCUGAGAGGAGCAGCAGAGACUGGAGGUCUGUGGGACUGGGUCGUGUUCUGAGAGGAGCAGCAGAGACUGGAGGUCUGUGGGACUGGGUCGUGUUCUGAGAGGAGCAGCAGAGACUGGAGGUCUGUGGGACUGGGUCGUGUUCUGAGAGGAGCAGCAGAGACUGGAGGUCUGUGGGACUGGGUCGUGUUCUGAGAGGAGCAGCAGAGACUGGAGGUCUGUGGGACUGGGUCGUGUUCUGAGAGGACGUACUGAACACAUCACUACUGGUGUGUGUGUUCAUGCACUUUUGUGUGUGUGUAUGUCAGAGAGGGUGUGUGUGUCUCCUAUGUCUCACCUCUACAGACACUGAAAAGUAGACCGCCUGUCUGUGGGGCCAGACUGCAGGCCUGCCUACUUAUAUCAAAGCACCAGGAGCCUUUGAAGGAGCUGAUGGGAAUCUGUAAGACAAGGAGAAGAGGUCUGACUGGCUGGCUGUUAUACACCACACAGGGUGGGACACUGGUGGACAACAGGAGCCAAACAGGUUAAUAAUCAUUACAUCACAGAUAAACUAACAUGAACAAACAGGCCGUGAAUAGCAGAUUCACUGAUAUAAAACUUCAAUCAGAGGGUUUAUAUCAGCAAUGUUUAAGUGUCCUUCAGCUGAUUGUUCUGAUGAUACUGUACAUGUAUUGAAUUAAGAUAAAAGGCACCUCUGUAUGUGUGGUAUUUGGACAUGUGUUACAAUAUUUUAUCAAUUCCCCUUUCCAUUUUGGGCUGAAGUAUAAAUGCUGCCAGUUAGACUGCUUCCUGUCCUCUGUCUCUCCUAAUCCCGCACUGGGCACAGAUCUUGGAUCACCUUAACCUCCACAAAUCCUAACCAUAACCAUUUGGGGGUUAAAGUGCUAAACUGCUUAGAUCAGUGUCUAGUAGGGACAACUUCUGUUUGUGUAUGUCUGUCUGCACGUGUGCAUGCAUGCAUGUGUCGUCCACGACAGUGCCUGUGUGUGUGCAUGCCUGUGUGUAUGUGCGUUUCUGUGUGUAUGUGCGUGCCUGUGUGUGUGCGUGCACCCCUGCAUGCUCGUGUGUGUGUCCUGAGAGGGCAAGGAGAGUGUCUGUGUCCAUAACAGAACAGCAAAAAGGGCCAAACAGGACCAUUAGAGAUGAACCCCUUGGGUUGUACCGUGGCGGAGAUCUUUGUGGGCUAUACUCGGCCUUGUCUCAGGAUGGACCUGAGCCCUAGGACCAUGCCCCAGGACUACCUGACAUGAUGACUCCUUGCUGUCCCCAGUCCACCUGGCCAUGCUGCUGCUCCAGUUUCAACUGGCCUGGGCCCUAGGACCAUGUCCCAGGACUACCUGACAUGAUG